GCAUGUUGAAACAUGUUUCGUGACAGACCUUAAUAUGAAAUGUGAACUGUGAGAUAAAUUGAAAUAAUUUGUCUAGUUUGUAUUUAUUUCAAUAUUUAAUACAAUAUUCAUGUUAGCACAUAGUUCUUUCAUGUAGGUAGCUUGAUUGUAAAGUAUUUCAAUUUGUCAAGAGCAUUUUCUUGAAUCUGCUUAUUCGAAGAUGGGCGUGUGCAGGGACUGCUGCUGGGAGACAGUGGUUACCCACAGUUGCCAUACCUGUUCACGUACAGAUGCAGAGCAGAGGCCAACAAUGAUGUGCCAAUCCCACCAGUUCCUCUUCGACCUGGGCGCGCCAUGGCCAUCAGGAACGAGUUCAUCAUCCGGCAUUUCAAUUAGCUGUAUUGAAAUGAUUUUUACACACAUUGUUUUACGUGGGUUUUUUAAUUCAGUGACCAUGAUCGUACCGUUUAAUAUUAGGUUUGUUUGGCUGGAAUGAAUAUUUUAUGAUUUUUGCACUCAUUGUUAUGGCUACUUAUGAAUAAUU